GGCGUACAAUUGCAGGAUAUUCAAACCUUACCCAGGAAUAGGGUAGAAACACAGCCCAGUGACAGACUAGUUCUCCUCGCCCUCUUAAAAACAAGAAAAUGCAGCAAGAGCCUGACGGAGCAGCAGCAGGAUCUCACCGCACCUAAUUGGUCAUCCUUCUCUGGAGGCAGCAGAACAACACCUGAUCAUCCACCUCGUUACUUCCUCACGGUGCCCUGGAAGACUUCAGGAC